UGGACCUGAGCGCGAAGCCGCAGCUUGCUUCUCAGCUCCCCCAGGCUUCCCGCGCGAACCGCUGAUUUGCAGGAAGGGGGGGGGGGGGCUGCGAGCUCAGCCUGACCCGGUGCUCCAGACACUGUGCGGCAGCUGCGUGGCCCGGUGCCAGCCGAGUGGCGCGUCUGUAGCGCCGCCAGCCACCUCCAGGCAGCGCGACCAGACCACUGAAACCUGUGUGGAGAAGGAAGAUGCUGGAAUUCCCUCCCUGGUUGAACUGCUAUUUUCCUCCAGCUAACUACCUGACAGAGACAUAUUGGCUGCACAAAGGAUCCAGACUACUGCCAGAAAAAGAAGACAUGCUGGAGGAAUGGGCAGGAGGGGCUUGUCUUCCCAUCAGGACCCUGACCAAAACUCCAGAGGACUCAAAGGAGUGGCAAAACUCUCCAGGAACAGAGGGGCAGUUCACACCUCAUCAGGGCAUGUAUGGGACAAACCCAGCCCAGCCUCACAGGAACAAAGAACACUGGCCUACGCAGCAACAACGGAUCUGUUGGACUCUCCAGUGAGUCACGCCCUUCCCUUGGUCAGUUUGGGACUAUGAUGAGGUAAUGCUCACCUGACCCUGAAGUGGCGAGGAGGGCAAAGCUAAGGGGUAAGAAAGAACAUGAUAAAAGGGAUAGAUGUUUGCCAUAUUGGCUCUGUCUUCCUUGAUCAUCUACAGAUACCACCACCAAGUGACUGAAGCGCUGAUCAAAGGGGAGAGCCUGGCUGAAGGGCAACCAGCCAGCCUGUGGUGAGAAGCAUCUAUGUUUAUAAGGGCACUGAAAGUGUUAAGAUCAGCUUAAAAUGCAUUUGUCUUUUAUUUAAUUUGGCCAAAUCUGACUUGUUGUGCUUUGACUUAUAAUCACUUAAAAUCUAUGUUUUGUAGUUAGUAAAUUUACUUGUUUAGUCUACCUCAAGUAGUGUGUUUGGUUUGAAGCA